ensembl:lncRNA
GACAAAGAGUAAGUCUUAGUAAGACUUUACACCUGAACAUUUCUAACUAAUUAAGCUAUUAACAGGCUAGGUCUGGGGCUUCCUAUUCACACCUGGCUUUUUACUGGUAUACUAAAAAAGGUCUUCUACACUGCAGAGUUGCUGUGCUUAUCUUGUUCUGGAUGGGAUCGUCAGCUGCAGAUGUGAAGGUGUAUGACCUAUCUUGCAUCUUAUGACCUAUCAGUGAGCCUCAUGCCUCAUACAAGGUAUCAUAUAAGGAUGUAUGAUUUGAUAUAGACAUUGAAUCCAGAUAUUCUCAAACAACUGACAAGCUAGCUUUUCAAGAAAGCAGCAAUGCAGUACUAUAAGAAACAGCAGUCAGAAGAAGUGGUUCCCUCACAAGUUGUGUCCAGAAUAAACAAACAGAAAUAGAAAAGAAUAUGUUUGGGCCACUUUUUGUUUCAGAUGUAGGCUAGACAGCUGCUGCUCUCCAGGACACACCUACUUUUGGGGCAAGUUUAUUGUUUCUCCAUGCAAGAUGACCUCUUCUGUUUCUCCGCACAAGAUGACAGGGCCACUUCUGAAAAAGAACAAAAACAACUAACACCUGGUUUCUAGAAAGCAGAAAGAAAAAUAAACUGGUUGGUUGUGCUUCACAUCAUUGUUGAUGCUGUGGAAAAUUAGACUCAUGAAUCUACCAAAGAUGGAGGAAGCAUUGCUUAAGGAAGGACAGGACUUCUUUUAGAAAUAAGAAUUACAAAUUCUAACAUCUUACAGGGUUUACCCAUAUUCCUCUGGGAUAGGAACACACCAUUGAUAGGUGUGUUUUAAAAAUCAGGGCAUUUAAUUUUGUGCUACCAGUGGACUCCACUGUACUUGAUCAAGAAAAAAAAAAUGCAGCCCUUGAGAAGAAUGAAUAUUAUCCUGAGAGAGUCAGAUGAGUCACCCUCUGAUUCUCAAGGGAACAUUGCUGUCUUACUACAGUUGAUUUCACUUUAUCCAUCCUUAUGUAUAGGAAGAUCUCUAUCCUGUCAUUCAGAAAGUGAGGAAUGUUUCUCAUCCUACAGCUACAUUCCUCUUAGGAGUCGCUGAACUGCACAGACCUGGGGAAAGUGAGCUGCUCUCACACCAGCAGCUGCAUAAAAGGAGAAAUUGAUCCUACCACCUACUUCAUCCUGUGGAAUUUCAGCACAGUGCUAACUCUCAGUGAAUGUGUUUAUUGUAUGGGAAUUGAUAAGUCAUGGCCUGAACCAAUGAUUGAGCACCUGAUGAAGGGACACAGCCAG